rnacentral:rRNA from 1 species
CCUACGGGAGGCAGCAGUGGGGAAUUUUGGACAAUGGGCGAAAGCCUGAUCCAGCCAUUCCGCGUGAGUGAAGAAGGCCUUCGGGUUGUAAAGCUCUUUCGCAAGGGAAGAAAACUUAGAUACUAAUAUUAUCUGAGGUUGACGGUACCUUGAUAAGAAGCACCGGCUAACUACGUGCCAGCAGCCGCGGUAAUACGUAGGGUGCGAGCGUUAAUCGGAAUUACUGGGCGUAAAGCGUGCGCAGGCGGUUUUGUAAGUCAGAUGUGAAAUCCCCGAGCUCAACUUGGGAACUGCGUUUGAAACUACAAGACUAGAAUAUGUCAGAGGGGGGUAGAAUUCCACGUGUAGCAGUGAAAUGCGUAGAGAUGUGGAGGAAUACCAAUGGCGAAGGCAGCCCCCUGGGAUAAUAUUGACGCUCAUGCACGAAAGCGUGGGGAGCAAACAGGAUUAGAUACCCUGGUAGUCCACGCCCUAAACGAUGUCUACUAGUUGUUGGUGGAGUAAAAUCCAUGAGUAACGCAGCUAACGCGUGAAGUAGACCGCCUGGGGAGUCGGUCGCAAGAUUAAAACUUAAGGAAUUGACGG